rnacentral:rRNA from 1 species
GAUGAACGCUGGCGGCGUGCCUAAUACAUGCAAGUCGAGCGAACAGAUAAGGAGCUUGCUCCUUUGACGUUAGCGGCGGACGGGUGAGUAACACGUGGGUAACCUACCUAUAAGACUGGGAUAACUUCGGGAAACCGGAGCUAAUACCGGAUAACAUUUGGAACCGCAUGGUUCUAAAGUGAAAUAUGGUUUUGCUAUCACUUAUAGAUGGACCCGCGCCGUAUUAGCUAGUUGGUAAGGUAACGGCUUACCAAGGCGACGAUACGUAGCCGACCUGAGAGGGUGAUCGGCCACACUGGAACUGAGACACGGUCCAGACUCCUACGGGAGGCAGCAGUAGGGAAUCUUCCGCAAUGGGCGAAAGCCUGACGGAGCAACGCCGCGUGAGUGAUGAAGGGUUUCGGCUCGUAAAACUCUGUUAUUAGGGAAGAACAAAUGUGUAAGUAACUGUGCACGUCCUGACGGUACCUAAUCAGAAAGCCACGGCUAACUACGUG